GGCAAAUUAAAUAAACCACUCCAUUGCUAAAGAGGCUUGGGCAGGCUGGGGAAGUUAUGGCACUGGAGAAGUUGCACUAAACAUUUACUAUGAAUACUUGAAAAAAAUAUGUGUCGAUCUUCAAAAUCGAGAGGUCUCGCAUCUGGAGUCCUGAGAAGCUGCGCGGUGUGCAGAUAUAUUAUAAUUAUGAAAAACCUACUUUAACUACCAUAUGCUGGGAACAUUUUCCUCAAAUUAAAAAUCUGUUGCAUUGAUAUCUUAGCAGCCAGUGAAGGAAUAAGGCUGUUUUGCUUGCCAAAAGUCAAAAGGUUAUCAUUCAUUGGAAGAAUACCAGCAGUGUUGUGGAAUUAAAAUAUGAGAACAAAGCCUCCUCACCUUUUUUUGAGCAGGAAUAAUGAACAUCGUUUGCCAGAGAAUCCCCAAGUACACAGAAGCUGCAUAUCCUGUGUUUUAUUAAAUAGGUUAGUCUGAGAUAGUGAAUGAAUAAAGAUAUGGACCUCCAUCUUCCAUGCAUAUAUAUCAACACAUCUACUGAAUUCGGGAGAUUCUGUUUAAGAAUGUGACUAUGGACUUUAUCUCAAGUUUUGAAGUUCUCAUGGUGACCUCAUACACAUUAAGGAUGUCUGUGACACACUACUGGCAUGGAAAAGGCUCUUGAUUAAUUUCAGGUAUAGCCGAAAAACAUUUCUGUAAUUUGGGGAGCUCUUGGUAGAAUAUAGAUAAUAUUAACUAUAGACGGACCAAAGGUCUGAUUUAAUAUACAAUAUAUUUUCAAAUAGACAUAAUGUGCAGUCCUUUUACCAGUUGAUUCCAGAAGCCAUAUAAGUAUAUGAAAGACUUAAUAAAAUCAAAGUCUGAACUAAAGUCCAGGAAAAUGAGGCUUAGGCUCAGAGUCCAGAAAAACUAGGAAAACAAACACUUGCUGCUGAUUCUGUGGUUUUUUUUCUAUGAAUAAAAAGAACUUUAGACUCUGGGGAAAAUAAAUAAAUAUGGUCUUGCCUGAUGCCCAUGGCACGUUUAUUGUCAAAUUAAAACAAACAAUUUUAUCUUUGGCCUAUUCUAAAUGAAUUAGAAUUCAACUGAAAUAAUAGCUGGCUCUCCUAAAGCUCAUUAAUUAAAUGAAAGUGUAACUAAUUGUUAUAUGUUUGUUUCAUGUAGACUGAAAGGUAGAAUCACAACAGACAUAAUUAGAGUAAUUAUUACAGUCUGCAUUUAAUUCUGAACCCCCAGGGAAUAUUGAAUUUUCAUUCGUGGAAACCAUAUUCCUUCUAUAAGAAAUACAGCUUCUCCCACUUAACCGAUAUGUUUUUCAUAAUGCCAUCUCAAGUGAGAUCAUCCCAUUCUAUUCUUUGUCACAACAGUAUUGUUAUUCAGAAUGACAGCAGUCAAAAGAUAAAUGCUAACAUGCAUGUUCUAGUUUUGCAUUUCUCAUCUCAAAAUAUAUGUGGCAUAUAUGACAAAAUAUUCUAUGUCUGAACAUUUCUAAAUCUUCUGAAAGAAAAUUAAUAUGAAUUCACUUUGUCCUUAAUGUUCAGUGGUACUUA